rnacentral:rRNA from 1 species
UGGGGAAUUUUGCACAUUGGGGGAAACCCUGAUGCAGCGACGCCGCGUGAUUUAGAAGGCCUUCGGGUUGAAAAAUUCUUUUCUAUGGGAAGAAAAUGACAGUACCAUAGGAAUAAGGACUGGCUAAUUACGUGCCAGCAGCCGCGGUAAUACGUAAGGUCCGAGCGUUGUCCGGAAUCAUUGGGCGUAAAGGGUACGUAGGCGGGUAAGCAAGUUAGAAGUGAAAUCCUAUAGCUCAACUAUAGUAAGCUUUUAAAACUGCUCAUCUUGAGGUAUGGAAGGGAAAGUGGAAUUCCUAGUGUAGCGGUGAAAUGCGCAGAUAUUAGGAGGAAUACCGGUGGCGAAGGCGACUUUCUGGCCAUAACCUGACGCUGAGGUACGAAAGCGUGGGUAGCAAACAGG